rnacentral:rRNA from 1 species
AUUGAACGCUGGCGGCAGGCCUAACACAUGCAAGUCGAGCGAGCGACGGACGGGUGAGGAAUGUAGGGGGACUGCCCGAUAGAGGGGGAUAACUACUGGAAACGGUAGCUAAUACCGCAUACUAUCGGAUAACACAUAUGGACUUAGCGAGUAGGGUAGGUAAUGGCUCACCUAGGCGACUAUCCCUAGCUGGUCUGAGAGGAUGAUCAGCAACACGGUGACUGAUACACGGCCCAUACUCCUACGGAGGCAUCAGUGGGGAAUAUUGCACAAUGCGCGCAAGCCUGAUGCAGCCAUGCCGCUUGUAUGAAGAAGGUCCUAGGGUUGUAAAGUACUUUCAGUCGGGAGGCGUUACCGACAGAAGAAGCACCGGCUAACUCCGUGCCAGCAGCCGCGGUAAUAC